GUGGAAGGGGCAUGCAGAGGAGCAGGAGGUUUUGUUGGAAGCCGACCUGUGCUCUACCCUCGCUCGCUCUCCUGUGCCUGCCUCUUCCAUU
rnacentral:pre_miRNA from 1 species